GGAUUAGAUACCCUGGUAGUCCACGCCGUAAACUAUGGAUGCUAGCUGUUAGAAGUAUCGACCCUUCUAGUAGCGAAGCUAACGCGUUAAGCAUCCCACCUGUGGAGUACGGUCGCAAGACUAAAACAUAAAGGAAUUGACGGGGACCCGCACAAGCGGUGGAGCGUGUUGUUUAAUUCGAUGAUAAGCGAAGAACCUUACCCAGGCUUGACUUCCUUGGAAGCUUUGCGAAAGCAGAGUGUGCCUUCGGGAACCAAGUGACAGGUGCUGCAUGGCCGUCGUCAGCUCGUGCCG
rnacentral:rRNA from 1 species